rnacentral:lncRNA from 1 species
GAAACGGGGAAAUGCGAGGCUGUGCCGAGCAUUUUCCCCGUUUCGGGCCGAAUCCUUAUAUCGUUGAUAUGUCAAGUCAAUGCACUAUUAUUGUCUUUAUACUGCAAUCUAAAAAAACAUUUUCAAUUGUUGUUUAUUGUGUUAAUGUUAUUUAUUUGAUUUAAAUAUUGGGAAAAAUCCCCCUUUAAAAAGGCCUCAUAUCACACAGACGGAGAAAUAUAAAACACGAUGAAAUGUACAUCAUUACCGCAAUCAAUGAUGAACGAAUUCGUUGCAGACUUAAAUAUCAUCAAUAAACAUAAAACAUAAUGAUUUAUAGGUUGCAAACAAAAAAAUAUUAAUAAGUGAA